rnacentral:rRNA from 1 species
CAGGUGCUAAUACCGGAUAAGAAAGCGGAUCGCAUGAUCAGCUUUUAAAAGGCGGCGUAAGCUGUCGCUAUGGGAUGGCCCCGCGGUGCAUUAGCUAGUUGGUAAGGUAAAGGCUUACCAAGGCGAUGAUGCAUAGCCGAGUUGAGAGACUGAUCGGCCACAUUGGGACUGAGACACGGCCCAAACUCCUACGGGAGGCAGCAGGU